rnacentral:rRNA from 1 species
GACGAACGCUGGCGGCGUGCCUAAUACAUGCAAGUAGAACGCACAGUUUAUACCGUAGCUUGCUACACCAUAGACUGUGAGUUGCGAACGGGUGAGUAACGCGUAGGUAACCUGCCUGGUAGCGGGGGAUAACUAUUGGAAACGAUAGCUAAUACCGCAUAAUAUUGAUUAUUGCAUGAUAAUUAAUUGAAAGGUGCAAUUGCACCACUACCAGAUGGACCUGCGUUGUAUUAGCUAGUAGGUGAGGUAACGGCUCACCUAGGCGACGAUACAUAGCCGACCUGAGAGGGUGAUCGGCCACACUGGGACGGAGACCCGGCCCAGACUCCUACGGGAGGCAGCAGUGGGGAAUCUUGGGCAAUGGACGAAAGCCUGACCGAGCAACGCCGGGUGAGUGAAGAAGGUUUUCGGAUCGUAAAGCUCUUUUGUAAGGGAGGAAGGGGUGUGAGGGGGGAAAGUGCACACUGGACGGGAUUCUUACCAGAAGGGGACGGUAACUUCGUG